CUUUGGACAGUGAUUCUCAACCUCCAUGGAGCUGCAGACUCUCUAAGAUAGGUGCAUUCGACUAAUUGAGAACCUUGCUGUGAAUUCUAUCUAAUCUACAGAAGCCAUGCCCUGUUGUCAUGAUUGUUGUUGCUGUUGUUUCACAAGAAGGUAUAUUCUGAGAAAGUGUGUGUGCAAGAGUCCGUGUGGGUGCACAUGUGAGUGAACAAGCCAUAAGAGGUCAUCAGAAGGAAUAUAGCAACUUAUUCAUGGAGAAGGUUUCCUGUCAUGAAGGAGAAAAGGAAGGGGUGUGUGCCUUCAGCAUGAAGAAACCCCAAACCACAGGCACAGCUCCGACUCAAGGAUCAGAAGGACUCUGCAUCACAACAGGGAAGUUCUACUCAAAAAAAACUGAAAAAAAAAAAAAGCUGGAUAACUUUCAUAGUCACCAUGACGAUGACACAGAGGGAACAUGGAACUCCAAAGAGAAACAAAUUCAAGAAUGGUUUGUGGAAAAGGGAGUGUGUCUCUGGAGGUAGCUUCAGAUGCAAAUGUAGGAGGGAAUAACAAUUACUCGGCUGCUGUUGUUGUUCUUGUUGUUGUUGUCGCUUUUAAUCUAUUGUCUAUGAAUUUUAUAUCUGCACACAAUAGACUUUAAAAUGCUUUUAUUAAUUCUUGAA